rnacentral:Y_RNA from 1 species
AGCUGGUCCUAAGGUAGUGAGUUAACUCACUUGAUUGUUUACACUCAGUUACAGAUUGAACUCUUUGUUCUACUACUUCCCCACCCCCAUCACUACUGCACUUGACUAGUCAAUA